AGAUAUAUUUAAAAUUGAACUUCUAAUUCAAUCACUAAUGAAAAAUAAAUUCAUUAUAUAUCUC
rnacentral:tRNA from 1 species